rnacentral:lncRNA from 1 species
CAUUUGACAUCGAACUAUGCAUGCAGGGCAAACACCCCGUGCUUCGGUGCCACCGCGCCGCGAACCCUGGGAGCUUGAACCUGGAUGGGUGUGAACUUCAGAUUGAUGUCAAGGUUAGGGGUCAGUCAUGGAUAGAGAAUAAAGGGGACUUUGCAAAACUGUUAUUAAUAAUAUGGAUGAAACAUUGCCUUGUGGAGAGAAUAAGAUAUUUCCAGAGAUAUUUAUAAAUGGAUGCAUACUUGAAAUAGCAGUACAAAAUAUGAUGCUAACAUUUUAUUUUCAUUGUUGUUCCCAUAAAACUUCUGGUGGUGGCUCCAUUAUUCACAGCCUCGCACAUGAAAAUGUUAUUUCGUUCGGGUAAAUGUUGCGUGUCGUUGCUCCUGUAGUUUUGCGGUUUGCAUCUCCUUGAAACUUGUGAGUUGGAUUUUGUGAAGUUGCAAUGCAAAUUUGCGAUGCAGGGAAGAUAAUAAACAAUGCUUUCUAAGAGCAUUGGAUAUUGGAUGCGACUCAGAAAGAACGCAUGCAAACGCAAGAUGCAAGACGUAGUAGGCACAUGUCCAGGUUUAUUAAGAGCAUCUACACCGGACGCCUCAUAUCUGUCACAGACACAAAAUUGCCGGUCAGCACUAGGACGCAAAAUUGCCACCCAACAGGAUCUGUCAAACCCGGCCCAAACGUCUAGACAUGACCGCACUCCCCAUAUCCAGCUCAUAUCUCGGACAGAUAUGUGGAAGCCCAGAGACGCCCGGACACACCCGCCAUGUAGGAUCCGGCCGAGUGUGGCCCACCCGACCCUACAUAAAUAGGACCCUAUCCGCACUCCGAGCGAAACCCAAGCGGCAUUCAACUCCACUCUACUCCUCGCCAGGCCACUCCCGUCCACCCACAAGCCCCAUUUGCGAAUCUCCCACCAUUUCGAGCCGUUGAACCGGAGAUCAUCCCACGCGGCCCCAAGGAGGAGAUGGUCGACUGCCUUGCGCUUCUCCACUACCGGAGGAGUCCGCCCAGCCGCGGUCGAAAUCCAUCUGGUGGGAAUCCAUUGCGUCUGCCACAAUGGAGCAUGGAUCCCGCCCGAGGGCAGUCUACGCUGCCUUAGCAGAGGCAGUGCACUCCAUCUGGCGUCCGAACGCCGUGGAGGAUACGCAACCACUUUGUUGGCGCACUGAGAAAGAUAUGCACACCCGCUUAACGUCUGAUAUUAAUAUGGUGUGUGGCGCAUCCACCGUGUUAGGCAAUGGGCACGGGAACCCGUGGCAGCCCCCGUGCCAGACGCCAGCGGGGCAGACUCGCACUCUUCGGUGCCUCGUAUCGUGCCCGGCAGCCCUUGGCGCCGAAAUCAUGUCGUGUUGGAUGCGGCCGGCUCCACCAUCAUGGAUCAAUCAUUGACCUCACAUCCACCGACGACGGGAGAGCACGGGCUCCGACGAGAAAGAGUAGGCCAUGGGAGAUGGCGCCGAAUCGAGUUUCUUUUGCCGGGUCGUGUCCCAUGUCCUACUCUACCUCACCAGAGACCGACCCUCCACUUUGACAGGCUCAGACAGCCAUCGGACAUGGACAGGUUAGGAACAACAAGGACAGUCGCUGGCACAAAUUUAGACUACAGCCGUCGACGCGAGGUAAGUGCGGCAUGAGUUAAUCGCUGAAGAGGUUGGGCCGUUGUCGCCGGUUUGUCGUACAGUUGCCGACGUAGUCGUCCAUGACCACCAGAUCGACGCCGCCGUCACUGCAAGUCUAGGCGUCUCUGUAGUGGCUGAAGUCAUUUUAGUGUAUUUUCUUUGUAUUGUGAUGAUUGCAUACUGUGUUGCGUAUUGUGGCGUAUUUUCUUUGUAUUGUGAUGAUUGUAUACAGUACAAUGUAUUGUGGAUUUUCAUACUUUGGUAGUAUUAGUGUUCACUAGGACUAGGUGCCACUCUGUAGAAGCUAAGGAUACAGAUGGAGAAAGUAGUCAUGGUUUUUUUUUCAAAAAGUUUGUUCAUAUCUAUAAGAGGUUUAUGAUUUUUCAGUGUAUACUGUUAUGAAACCUAGAGUGUUUUAUCUCAUUUAACAUUGAACUACGCUUUCAAGGAAAAACCUUCAUUUGACAUCGAACUAUGCAUGCAGGGCAAACACCCCGUGCUUCGUUGCCACCGCGCCGCGAACCCUGGGAGCUUGAACCUGGAUGGGUGUGAACUUAAGAUUGAUGUCAAUGUUAGGGGUCAGUCAUGGAUAUAGAAUAAAGGGGACUUUGCGAAACUGUUAUUAAUAAUAUGGAUGAAACAUUGCCUUGUGGAGAGAAUAAGAUAUUUCGAGAGAUAUUUAUAAAUGGAUGCAUACCUGCAAUAGCAGUACAAAAUAUGAUGCUAACAUUUUAUUUUCAUUGUUGUUCCCAUUAAACUUCUGGUGGUGGCUCCAUUAUUCACAGCCUCGCACAUGAAAAUGUUAUUUCGUUCGGGUAAAUGUUGCGUGUCGUUG